rnacentral:rRNA from 1 species
CUUGCCCGCAUAACCCCCUCCGACACACCCGAGCAUUUGUCUGACUUUGGAAGCGAAGCAGAGCUAAGCCUGGUUCGUGCCUGGGUGGGAGAUCCCCGGGGAAGACCAGAGACAUCCGAGA